rnacentral:lncRNA from 1 species
ACGUGUUGAGCGGCAAGUAAGAGUUCUUGAUCAAAUUCCACGUGUCAGCCAUGGGGACUAUGAGAGACUGGGUAAUCGAUUACACACAUGCAGUAAGCGAUUACACUGGCAUUUGUACCAAAACUCCAACCCUGCUCCCUUCUCCUGCUGGAGUGGGCUCCCCAGUGUGGUGUAGUUGGUGAUGACUUUGUCAAUUUGUAUGUUGAGAGUCUGGGAUGACAUGUCCCUGCCUGAUGACCAACACGUGUUGAGUGGCAAAUAAGGGUUUUUUUAUCAAAUUCCACGUGUCAGCCAAGGGGACUAUGAGAGACUGUGUAAUCGAUUACACACAUGCAGUAAGCGAUUACACUGCCAUGUGUACCAAAACUCCAACGCUGCUUCCUACCCCUACUGGAGGGGGCUCCCUAGUGUCCUGAUGUUUGUCAGGGGUUGGUUAUUUUCAAGGUCUAUAUUGAGUUUUUGCGUGUGUAAUCGAUUGCGUUCAUGCUGUAAGCGAUUACAUUAGCAUGUGUACAAAAAGUGCAACAAUGCUCCCUGCCCCUGCUUGAGAGGGCUCUCUAGUGUCCUAUUGUUGGUCAUGACUUGUUUAUUUUCCAGGUGUAUAUUGAGUGUUUUCCUGGGUUGCCUCCCACCAAGCGCUUCUCUAACGUCACUAGGUUGACCCAAUUAAGCCCAAUUCGGAUUUUUGAUGUUGGUGGUACUCCUUCCUUCAUGACACCAACAAUUUUCUUGUCACCAACUCUAAGGAUCCUCAAUCUUAAGAACUUCAUUUUCUUUGAUAGUCUUGACA